rnacentral:rRNA from 1 species
GAUGAACGCUGGCGGCGUGCCUAAUACAUGCAAGUCGAGCGAAUGGAUUAAGAGCUUGCUCUUAUGAAGUUAGCGGCGGGCGGGUGAGUAACACGUGGGUAACCUGCCCAUAAGACUGGGAUAACACCGGGAAACCGGGGCUAAUACCGGAUAAUAUUUUGAACUGCAUGGUUCAAAAUUGAAAGGCGGCUUCGGCUGUCACUUAUGGAUGGACCCGCGUCGCAUUAGCUAGUUGGUGAGGUAACGGCUCACCAAGGCAACGAUGCGUAGCCGACCUGAGAGGGUGAUCGGCCACACUGGGACUGAGACACGGCCCAGACUCCUACGGGAGGCAGCAGUAGGGAAUCUUCCGCAAUGGACGAAAGUCUGACGGAGCAACGCCGCGUGAGUGAUGAAGGCUUUCGGGUCGUAAAACUCUGUUGUUAGGGAAGAACAAGCGCUAGUUGAAUAAGCUGGCACCUUGACGGUACCUAACCAGAAAGCCACGGCUAACUACGUGCCAGCCGCCGCCGUAA